CCAGAGUGAAAGCAUGAGGUCCUUGUUCACAUGAAUUCCUCUGAAUGCUGGGGAAGUGAGCACCCUUUCACAGCGGUUCUGAAUUUCUUCUUUGUGCCAAAUCUCAGAUCCUGCCCCCAAACCAAUCUUCUUGUGCAUCUGUGUCCUUCGUUUUGCUCCCCAGGAAGCCUGGAGCACAGGGUGAUAGGACUAGUUCCAUCUAGAGUGCUAUUGACCGGAGCCCCAGGACUCAGGUUCAAGGGCGAUGCAGCAACAGGCUGGGUGAUUCUCCCAGCAGCUCUGGGAGGGAGAGGGUGAGUACCCACAGUUGGAAACAGCUCCACUGAAGUACAUGUCACCCGCUGUAGAGUUCACUCUUUUAAAGUCUGCGGGCCAGUGUUGUUCUGUCUAGUCACCGAAUUCUACAUCCACUGCUAAUACCUCAUUCAUACCCAGAAGGAGAUUGUGGAUCCACUGGAAUGGCAGCCACUCCAUGUCCCUGCAUGUAAAUUGUUCCCAUGGAUUGCAGGCUGCUCCAGCUGAAUCGGCUCAAAGCAGGGGGCUUGCAGCACUGAGGUGGGUUUGUCAGAGGGUGUUUGAAGGUGUUUCCUUGCAGGAGAGCUUCUCCAGGGUGACCUCAGUCCUGUUUCUGGGGUUGAAGACAGUGGUUGGGUCAUUGGGUCGUUGACUCACUUUACAGUUGUGAGAGGAGAGAAGGGUCAGUACUCAGACUGCCCAGCAUCCUUCUACUGAACCUUAGACUUUUCCUCCCAAAUAGCUGCUGUGAUGCCCAGUGAUGUCCCUGCUGCCACUGGUAUGCUGGGUCAUAUUGUUGUCCUGAGGGCAGCCAGCCCUUCAAGACUGAGAGAGGGUACUUUUUUUUUUUUUUUUUUUUUAGCCAAAGCAGAUUAUUUUUGCUGCGUGUGAAUCAUCUGAGGAGUGAGAAUAGCAGACCAGGCAAGACAUGUCCAUAAAAGGCAUUUCCCGAGCACCCUCUGUGCAUGUGUUUGGUUUGCUGUGGCUGUGCCGGGCAUCUCCUAUGCCAGGAAUUUGACCUUCUGGACCUUCAUUGCACACCUAGCACGUGCUGGGUGUUCAGUGACUAAGGCCCCAUCUCUGUCUUUUUUUUUUUUUUUUUCGGGCUGCACCAUAUGGGAUCCACACCCCCAGGCUUGGAAGCGUGGAGUCUUAACCACUGAACUGUGGGGGAAGUCCCUCGUCUCUGUCUUCAAGAAGUGUUGUCUUUGGUUUGGCGAAAACAUCUGUGGACCACCACAUUCCUGCAAGGUGGACUGUGAUAAAGAAGUCCUGAGCCGCUGAUCAAGUUGACAGGCACACCUCAUGAACUUGGACUGUCCCUGCCCUUUCUCUCCUGCCCAGCAAGAUGAUCAUUCAUUCACUGUUUAACACUGGGAUGUCUUGAGAGUAAACGAGACCGAGAAUGUGCCAGCCCUGGAUGUGCUGGUAGCUCUUAACAUUUUAGGGUCAGAGAUCCCUUUAAAGAGCUGAUGAAAGCUUUGGACUUUCACCUCAGAAAAAUUGCUCUGGGGCGCACACCCGUGUGACUCUGCAGACAAUUUCAAUUUCAUGGUUUUUAUGGACAUCCUGAAACCCAUCCAUGGACCCCCGAGGGGCUGGAGGGUAAUAACACCUGUUUUAGAGCUUAUCUCAUGCAGGGUGUUUUUAAAAUCCCAGAUGGUAAUUCAUAUUACUGUUAUUAAGAAUACUGUUUCUCAGUUAUUUCUAUGUCAGAAUCCUUUCUCAUUAAUAGUAUCAUUUUCCAAAGGUUCCUUGUGAUGUGGUAUUAUUUAGAUUCUUGAGCCUCAAGAAUAAAGCAAAAGCAGGAUAAUCUGAUAAACUAAAUUUUUUUUUGUCCUGGUAUACAUGUAUAAAAUAAAGUAAACAGUGACCU
ensembl:lincRNA